rnacentral:rRNA from 1 species
CCAGACUCCUACGGGAGGCAGCAGUGGGGAAUAUUGCACAAUGGGGGAAACCCUGAUGCAGCAACGCCGCGUGAGUGAGGAAGUAUUUCGGUAUGUAAAGCUCUAUCAGCAGGGAAUAGAAAAGAAGGUACCUGAAAAAGAAGCCCCGGCUAACUACGUGCCAGCAGCCGCGGUAAUACGUAGGGGGCAAGCGUUAUCCGGAUUUACUGGGUGUAAAGGGAGCGUAGACGGAAAGGCAAGUCAGAAGUGAAAGCCCAAGGCUCAACCAUGGGACUGCUUUUGAAACUGUCAAACUAGAAUACGGGAGAGGUAAGAGGAAUUCCUAGUGUAGCGGUGAAAUGCGUAGAUAUUAGGAGGAACACCAGUGGCGAAGGCGUCUUACUGGACCGAAACUGACGUUGAGGCUCGAAAGCGUGGGGAGCAAACAGGAUUAGAUACCCCAGUACA